rnacentral:rRNA from 1 species
ACAAUGGGCGCAAGCCUGAUGCAGCCAUGCCGCGUGUAUGAAGAAGGCCUUCGGGUUGUAAAGUACUUUCAGCGGGGAGGAAGGGAGUAAAGUUAAUACCUUUGCUCAUUGACGUUACCCGCAGAAGAAGCACCGGCUAACUCC